GGUGACGCAAUAAAAGGUACAUCGACCAAUCAGAAACUCGUUUGCAAUUGGGUCGGAGAUAGUGUUGUUUUUAUCGACAGAGCUCACACAAAAUGUACAUGUAGAUUUAUUCAGUUUCAACGCCGGACAUUUAACAUUUUUGAGAUAAAGAAGUCAGGGCAAGAAAUGGCUGUCCGCACUCUGGACAAAAAAUGAGCAUGCUUUGAUGGAACAUCAUUUAGUUCCCAGCAGACUCCAGAUAGAAGUUCUUUCCAGAUGUAAAGUGAAUUGAUGAAAUCUUGAAAAAGUGUUGUGAGUGCUGGUGUUGUCCAGAUAUUAAAAAAAUGGAGCAGCUGCCAGAUGGAUGUACUUUCCAGAUGUAAACCAUCACAAAUGAUGCCGGUUUGUAUUUACCAGAUGUUUACCAAAUGAAGGUUUGUUAUACAUGAUAUUUAAGGUUCUCUUAAUAUUUGAGAAGAUUUGUUAUUAUGCCGCCAAAGGUGGGCGUAUUAAAAUGGCACUGUCCGUCCGUGCGUCUGUGUAAAUUCUUGUCCGGGCUGUAACUCUGCCACCCGUGAAGGAAUUUAAAAUAACUUGACAAAAAUGUUUACUAUUAUCAGACAAUGUGUCAUGCCCUAGACCCAGACCCCUGCCUCCAAGGUCAAGGUCACACUUAGAAGUCAAAGGUUAACAAGGUCUGUUUUGUGUCGGUUCAUAACUCUGCCAUUCAUAAAAGGAUUUUGAAAUUACUUAGCUUAAAUGUUCCCCAUAAUGAGGUGACAUAUCAUGCGCAAUAUCCAGACACCUAGCUCUAAGGUCAAGGUCACACUUAGAGGUUAAAAGUUAACAUGGUCUGUUUCUUAUCCGGUCCAUAACU
rnacentral:lncRNA from 1 species